rnacentral:rRNA from 1 species
ACGGCUCAGUAACACGUGGACAACCUGCCCUUAGGUUGGGUAUAAACCCGGGAAACUGGGUAUAAUACCCGAUAGGUCUCGAUUGCUGGAAUGCAUCGAGAUUUAAAGCUCCGGCGCCUAAGGAUGGGUCUGCGGCCUAUCAGGUAGUAGUGGGUGUAGCGUACCUACUAGCCUACGACGGGUACGGGUUGUGAGAGCAAGAGCCCGGAGAUGGAUUCUGAGACACGAAUCCAGGCCCUACGGGGUGCAGCAGGCGCGAAAACUUUACAAUGCUGGCAACAGCGAUAAGGGAACCUCGAGUGCCAGGUUACAAAUCUGGCUGUCGAGAUGCCUGAAAAGCAUUUCAUAGCAAGGGCCGGGCAAGACCGGUGCCAGCCGCCGCGGUAACACCGGCGGCUCGAGUGGUAACCGUUAUUAUUGGGUCUAAAGGGUCUGUAGCCGGCCGGAUAAGUCUCUUGAGAAAUCUGGCAGCUUAACUGUCAGGCUUUCAGGAGAUACUGUCUGGCUCGAGGCCGGGAGAGGUGAGAGGUACUUCAGGGGUAGGGGUGAAAUCUUGUAAUCCUUGAAGGACCACCAGUGGCGAAGGCGUCUCACCAGAACGGACCUGACGGCAAGGGACGAAAGCUAGGGGCACGAACCGGAUUAGAUACCCGGGUAGUCCUAGCCGUAAACGAUACUCGCUAGGUGUCGGCCACGGUGCGACCGUUGUCGGUGCCGUAGGGAAGCCGUGAAGCGAGCCACCUGGGAAGUACGGCCGCAAGGCUGAAACUUAAAGGAAUUGGCGGGGGAGCAC